GCGGAUGUGGCGAAAUUGGCAGACGCACUAGGUUUAGGUCCUAGCGAGAAAUCGUGUAGGUUCAAGUCCUAUCAUCCGCACCA
rnacentral:tRNA from 1 species